rnacentral:tRNA from 1 species
GAGGGUAUAGCUCAAGUGGUAGAGUGCAUGCUUAGCAUGCAUGAAGUCCUGGGUUCAAACCCCGGUACUGCCA